UGGGUGGGAUGAGCAGCCCUGUUGGAGAACGUGGGAAAUGCCCCCUGAGGCUGUGGGCUGUGGGGGUCCGGUGCAGCCCCAAAUGGCCGGACCUGGAAACUCUGACAUGACUCUGCUUUCCAACCGCAGGCAGACAGACCACAUCCAGCUUCCCAAGCAUGAAAAAAUUCGUAGACACGUGUGAGAUGUUGGAGCUCACAAAGAGUGCAACCAUUCUCCCAAAAGACGCCUCCUGUGCGCACACCAUCCUGCCGUGAGAGGGAGCCGCCCGCCUGCUCUUUCCUUCGGGGCUUGGCUUGCGGUCCCCCUAGACCCCCGGAGUGUUGUUCCAGGUUGCAGGUCUCAUACCCAGAUGCUUGUUGAGAAGCCUUUGGUGACCCCAGGACAUUGAAGGUCUGGAACCCAGGGCCACGGCUCUAGCCCAAAAGGAAUCUUUCAUGAUCAUCGAGCUGACUGGGCAAGGAGAUGCCAAGCCAGACCCCUUCUUCCUGUGUCCUCCAGACCACAUGGCAGAAAGAUGCUGCUGUCCCCCAUCUGCUGUGAAAUAGACCACGGUCUGGUCCAGUGUCAUCCUU